rnacentral:lncRNA from 1 species
UCCACACACAGACUUCGCAAGUACUUGACUGUAGCCAGUAGCCUUCCGUCACUACAUUAAAAAUCCAGAUAGUCCGACACCAAAGCAUAGUGAGUUACUUACAAGUCACUAUGGUGAUCUCAGGUCUGAAGGACACUUAUAUCCAUGUGUUUCAUGAGCAGCUCUUGACAGUAGAAUGCUCAGUAGGUGAGUUACUUGUUCAGUGAUGAUGUAUCCCUACAUCUCACUUGUAUGCCAUACCAGUGUCACUACACUCCUUAGUUAAGAGAAUAACCAACCC